rnacentral:tRNA from 1 species
GGUUUCGUGGUGUAGUUUGUUAUCACGUCAUUCUAACACACUGAAGGUCUCCGGUUUGAGUCCCGGCAAAGCCA